ACAUUCUGUCCUCGACUUAAACAAAACACUUUAAAGGAAAAACUGCAAUAACACCUGCAGGUCAUUAAUGAGACGAUAUAUCAAAUGAAUAUCGGUAUCAGAGUUUGUAUCGGUGAUACUGGCUCUGAGUUCACUUGGUAUCGGAGCGACACCGAUAUAUGCAGUAUAGCACACCUUUAGUGAAAACCAUCUAAUGCAAAGGAGCUGAAGGUAUUUAUGAAACAUGAUUUUGUUUCAUUGUUUUAGAACAGCAGAAAUUUACUUUGCUCCUAACCCUACUGUACCAUCAGCUCAGCUUUCCAGACAGAAAUAUCUUCCUCUCUGAAGACCUUGGAGCGCUUCAGUGAACGCAAGGUGCUGAUUGACGAUAACACCACCACGUAACCUCAUGUAAAAUAAACAUACUGUCCCUUUAAAUAAGGUUAGGCUGUAAUACUGUGCUUGUGAAAGUUAGAGACUGAGAAGGGGGUGUUGGCCUCGCCGCCGCCUGUGAUGAUCAACAACACUGGCUGGUUAUGUAACCGGGAUGCUGCAGUAUGUAGGUCAGCACCGCAGGGAGAGGCAGGGAUUGGGUAAGGAGGAUGAAGCUGUGCAGUGUGUGUUGGGCUGCCUGCCCUCUCAGCUGCUCAGCCGCACAGCGAGGAUGUGCCGCUUAAACCGUGGCGAGGUGACGUCAGACUACAUCAGUCACUAGUUAAAAAUCUCUGCUUAAUGACCUGAAAAUCUGGAGGCAGAGGGGAGGAAAUCAUCAGAAGAGGAAUGCUGCAGGAACUUGUUGUGCAACGAAGCCAGACAUGCUCAAACAUUAACUUGGUUAAUGUUUCCAUUUCACAUUCUAGUUCUUGUAAACAAAGUAGGUCACGCUAAGUAUCUCAUUUCUCAUGUGCAUUUAGCUCAACGUAAAAGCACUUUUUUGUUUUACAGCAAUAAAAGUUUGGAUAAAAGUUGUCAAGUUUCAAUGGGGAGAGACACUCUGUUGUGAAUAUUCACUGCAUGACAGAACGUAAUGUUCUCACACUUUGCAACUGGAUGUUUGUUUUGAUAACACCUCCGUGUUUUCCAUUUUACCUAAAUUUCCUUCAGCACAACUUAAAUACGAACAAGCAUUUGGCUUCGUGGUUCCCUCUGACCCAGUUUGCUCUAAAACGAGAGUUCCUCUGUCGAAACCAAAACGUUUCACGUUGGUAAAAAUGUAAACAUUUCCCCACAGAGCAGAUUUGGCCCCAAGCCUGCAGGAAAUCAGGGAGACAAAACCCGGAGCGACUGAAAACAAGUCCUCGAUUGGCUGACGUUCAGGAGAGAGUUAAGCUGCCUGCAACAACCCAUUGACUCUCCCACUCCCUCUGUCUGACACGGUACUGUAAAAUAGAUCCCCAUAGGGACCACUUAUUGCAUAACCUGCACAAGCUGAGAAAUCAACAAGGUCAGAGGUCAGCUAAUGCGAGUGCAAAGAAGGCAGAGGUAGACGUCUGCAGAGGCAUUGCUGAGCUGAGCAGUGAGCUUUACCAUCACCGAGGCUCAGAAGAAAGAAAAAGAAAAGCUGCUGCCAUUAACUCUGCUUUUUCUCCUGCAUCAGUUCCUUCUGUGGUUUUUGUCUUCUAAAACCCCCAGUCAGUAAAGGUAAAGAGUUAGGUGAAUAAUUACAAGUUUAGUUGUAUCUAAGGACAUGUUGGUCCUCCGCUCCAUCCAAAUAUAAUUGAUCACUAAUCACUAUCCCUCCUUUUGUUUUCCUUUUCCAAGUCACUGUAAACAAAGAGGCGAAAGGGAAAAAAAACCUGACUAGCUCAUCUUCAUGUCAUCAGAAAGUGAAAGUAUUUUGACACCUCUUCUGCCAGAUAACCUCUAAAGUGUCAACAAACCUCUAGGAGUCACUAGACCUCAUCAAGACAUAAUAAACUCCAAUGAACUCCAAA